rnacentral:rRNA from 1 species
AUUCCAGCUCCAAUAGCGUAUGUUAAAGUUGUUGCGGCUAAAAAGCUCGUAGUUGGAUUUCUAGAUGAGAGGAGUGGUCCACUCUAUGAGUGUGUAUCUACUUCCGCUCGUCUAUCCGCUCUGCAUACGUGUCUGCGCUUGACUGCGUGGCGCGGAGGUAGGGCCUUUUACUUUGAGGAAAUUAGAGUGUUCACGGCAGGCAAUCGCCUUGAAUAUAUUAGCAUGGAAUAAUAGCAUAGGAUCUUGGUCCUAUUUUGUUGGUUUCUAGGGCUAAGAUAACGAUUAAUAGGGACAAUUGGGGGCAUUCGUAUCGCGGUGUCAGAGGUGGAAUUCUUGGAUUACUGCGCGACGAACUACUGCGAAAGCAUUUGCCAAGGAUGUUUUCAUUA